rnacentral:rRNA from 1 species
AUUGAACGCUGGCGGCAGGCCUAACACAUGCAAGUCGAGCGGAUGAAGGGAGCUUGCUCCUGGAUUCAGCGGCGGACGGGUGAGUAAUGCCUAGGAAUCUGCCUGGUAGUGGGGGAUAACGUCCGGAAACGGGCGCUAAUACCGCAUACGUCCUGAGGGAGAAAGUGGGGGAUCUUCGGACCUCACGCUAUCAGAUGAGCCUAGGUCGGAUUAGCUAGUUGGUGGGGUAAAGGCCUACCAAGGCGACGAUCCGUAACUGGUCGGAGAGGAUGAUCAGUCACCCUGGAACUGACACACGGUCCAGACUCCUACGGGAGGCAGCAGUGGGGAAUAUUGGACAAUGGGCGAAAGCCUGAUCCAGCCAUGCCGCGUGUGUGAAGAAGGUCUUCGGAUUGUAAAGCACUUUAAGUUGGGAGGAAGGGCAGUAAGUUAAUACCUUGCUGUUUUGACGUUACCAACAGAAUAAGCACCGGCUAACUUCGUG